UUCGCGUCGGGCGGCGGUCAUCCUGUGAAUCCCGCCAGGUCCGAAAGGAAGCAACGGCAACAGAGCUUGCCGGGCGCCCGACGCGUAAAA
rnacentral:SRP_RNA from 1 species